rnacentral:rRNA from 1 species
UACGAAGGGGGCUAGCGUUGUUCGGAAUUACUGGGCGUAAAGGGCGCGUAGGCGGCGUGUCAAGUCAGGCGUGAAAGCCCCGGGCUCAACCUGGGAACCGCGCUUGAGACUGGCAUGCUCGAGUUCGGGAGAGGAUGGUGGAAUUCCCAGUGUAGAGGUGAAAAUUCGUAGAUAUUGGGAAGAACACCGAUGGCGAAGGCAGCCAUCUGGACCGACACUGACGCUGAGGCGCGAAAGCGUGGGGAGCAAACAGG